rnacentral:sRNA from 1 species
GUUUGGAAUUUCUCAAUCCGUUUGACGAUCAUUUUUGUUUCGUAGGCAUGGUUCUAGAAUUGGAACAGUCACCGUCGACCUUGACAACAACAUCGAAGAAAAUAAAAUAAUUUUACAGCAAAACAGAAGCAGGUAGUACAUACUCCCUCCGUCCAAAAAAAAAAAGACAAACUCUGGUUUCCGUGCCCAACGUUUGACCGUCUGUUUUAUUUAAAAAAAUUAUAAAAAAAAUUAAAAAGACAAGUCACGUAUAAAAUAUUAAUUAUAUUUUAUCAUCUAACAAUAAUAAAAAUACGAAUUAUAAAAAAAAAUUAUAUAAGACGGACAGUCAAAAUUGGACACGGAAACUUAGGGUUUGACUUUUUUUUGGGACGGAGGGAGUUCUUUACAUGGUAGGUUAGGCCAGGUCAAUACCCGUGGCAUGUUUAUUGAAGCCAAAACUAAAGGAGUAUUUGAUUUUCUCGUUGUGAUAGUGGAUUUAAUCUAAACUAGCAAAUCGCAUGCAUAGCUUAUACUACAACAUUAAAGCAAGCUAAGCUGGGUGAAUUCCUAAAGCUAAAGAAAAAGCCAAAGGUGCCUUGGACAGUUUGACCACGGUCAGUUGCGGCUCCCUCCAUCCGCCAUCAGCCGCGCAAAGUAGUAAUGGGCUAUACUUUUCCCCUCUUAAGUGGAUGGGCUUUUUAGAGAGGAAUAAGCUCAUUUUAGAUCCCUUAAUUUAUCGUCAAGUCUAAAAUUUACCCCUAACCGCAAUAUCAGACAUGAUGUGUCCCUUAAGAAAAAAAAACAUUCAACAUUACCCUCGCAAUACCGACUAAAUUAAGCUAGCUCACAAUAAAAAAAAAUCCAACCAGAUCUGCAAGCUAAUUGGAGUAGCCAAGAAAAUAUAACCCCCGCCAAGGACUCGAGUACUGUUGCAUCGACAUUAAGGGGGUGUUUAAAUCCACCGGCAAAUUUUUUUUUCCCGUCACAUCGAACGUUUAAACACAUGUACGGAGUAUUAAAUAUAUACGAAAAAAAUAAAUUACAUAGUUUACGUGUAAAUUGCGAGACGAAUCUUUUAAACCUAAUUGCGUCAUGAUAUGACAAUGUGGUGCCACAGUAAAUAUUUGCUAAUGAUGGACAUUAAGUGUUUAGUGGACAUUAACUUUAUAAAAAGAAGAGAUUUAGUUACAUACUCAAAUGUCUUGAUAUAACUUAUAAAGAGACAGCG